UGCUGGGCUGGGGCCCGAUUCUCAUGUCCUUGUUUACCCUGAAUUGCUCCUCGGAGAAUCUCUUUCCAAGAUCAGUCACACAGAGAUCCUGGGCUUCACCAUGCAAGCUUGGGGCAGAGCUCUUACUGCGACCUCAUCCUUUGUCUCUAGGGCUUCGAGUGGGCAUGGGAAGAGUCUGGCUGGAGAGGAAGCUGAAUGGCCUGCCCAGUAUGCUCAUGAGGGCAGACGCACCUUCCCUUAGGUCUGAAGAUGGUACAAGAUGUAGACGGAACAGAGCGGUGACAUGUUGCAGUCCUCUUGUGACCCUAGGUUGGACGCGUUCCCAGCAGUCACCUGCACUGGCCCAGGCUUCCCCCUGACCAUCACACAGCGUUGAUAAAGUCAGUAGCCAUUGGGCACGAUGGAAUGCUGAGUCCUGUCCCCACCAUCUGCGAUUACCACUGCACUCAAUGUCACUCUCUGUCCCUCAUGACGGUUGGUUACAUCUACAAUGGUGGGCCCGGGAGACAGCCUCAAGACCCUGUACAUGGCAGUGAGAUACCUCAGCAGCCACAGAACCCUGCAGCUGACAGGAGACCCUGUAGACUGGGAUGAGACCCACCGAUGAUGGUGGACUCUUUAAAACAGCUAUAGGACCUGGUGGAUGGCCUUGGGAUCCUUCAGAUGACUCUGGAACCAACCAACAACCCUGAGACCCUGCAGCCCAUGGUGGGAUGGCUCUGGUUGACCAUGCAGAGAAGUUCAUCACCACACUGCUGUUUCCUGGAGCUUUCUGUAAAACCCUUUGUUCUUGCAGAAACUUUGGGAAACGUGUGACAAUGGGAAAUGCUGAGACACUGUCGCUCUGUCACAGGAUGACCAUUCCUGUGUGUAUUUAUCCUGACCAUUAAAGUGACAUUAUUCUCCAC